CAGCCGCCGCGGUAAUACGUAGGGUGCGAGCGUUAAUCGUAAUUACUGGGCGUAAAGCGUGCGCAGGCGGUUAUAUAAGACAGAUGUGAAAUCCCCGGGCUCAACCUGGGACCUGCAUUUGUGACUGUAUAGCUAGAGUACGGUAGAGGGGGAUGGAACUCCGCGUGUAGCAGUGAAAUGCGUAGAUAUGCGGAGGAACACCGAUGGCGAAGGCAAUCCCCUGGACCUGUACUGACGCUCAUGCACGAAAGCGUGGGGAGCAAACAGGAUUAGAUACCCCUGUAGUCCCUGUCUCUUAUAC
rnacentral:rRNA from 1 species